rnacentral:lncRNA from 1 species
GAGUCUUGAUCUUGAUUUAGCUUGCUUUCGAGUUUGAGGCGUCGAAUCGGUUGGUUGCUGUUGCUGCUUGUGUGCGUGAGUCUUGGGGUGGGCGGCGGCGACCAGCUGCUGGUCGUGGCAGCCGGAGUUCAGUGAGGGAGAACGGCGAGGCGGCUUACCGCUGCUGCAGUCGCCGGAAGGUCGAGAGAGAGAGACCGAGGGAGGCAGCGGCGUUCCGUCGUUGCCAAGGAGGAGAGAGAACAGGGGGGUACAGAGGGAGAUGAGGUGGGUGGUCCUUCGUUGGUGGCCGAGCCGCGGCGGCGGAGAGAGGCUGGGAUGGCAGCCGGCGAUGGAGAAGAUGUACAGCAACAGCAGCGCCGGCUCUGGGAUGGUGGCAGGCGGUCCGACCAACCGCUGCUCUCUGUCUCGGGGCAGCGAGGGCGGCCACGCUGUCGGCUGGGGAAGGAGAGGACGACGGCGGCGGUGGCUUGAUGCUCCUGCUGCCCGUCCGAUCCAGAGAGAGUCGAAGUCGGCGGCGGUAGUGGCUUCUCGCUGCUAUCGCCGGAGUUCCAGAGGGAGGAUCGGAGUUUGAGAGGAGAGAGCUGGUGGCGGCAGCUCGUCGCUGCUGCUCCUCCGGCGAGCUCCACGGUGGGCGGCUGUUACCAGCCGAAGAAGAGGGAGCCG